rnacentral:rRNA from 1 species
AUGAACGCUGGCGGCGUGCCUAAUACAUGCAAGUCGAGCGAACAGACGAGGAGCUUGCUCCUCUGACGUUAGCGGCGGACGGGUGAGUAAACCGUGGAUAACCUACCUAUAAGACUGGGAUAACUUCGGGAAACCGGAGCUAAUACCGGAUAAUAUAUUGAACCGCAUGGUUCAAUAGUGAAAGACGGUUUUGCUGUCACCUAUAGAUGGAUCCGCGCCGCAUUAGCUAGUUGGUAAGGUAACGGCUUACCAAGGCAACGAUGCGUAGCCGACCUGAGAGGGUGAUCGGCCACACUGGAACUGAGACACGGUCCAGACUCCUACGGGAGGCAGCAGUAGGGAAUCUUCCGCAAUGGGCGAAAGCCUGACGGAGCAACGCCGCGUGAGUGAUGAAGGUCUUCGGAUCGUAAAACUCUGUUAUUAGGGAAGAACAAAUGUGUAAGUAACUAUGCACGUCUUGACGGUACCUAAUCAGAAAGCCACGGCUAACUACGUG